GGCCUACCAUGGUGGUAACGGGUAACGGGGUGUUAGGGCACGACACCGGAGAGGGAGCCUGAGAAACGGCUACCACAUCCAAGGAUGGCAGCAGGCGCGCAAAUUACCCAAUCCCGACACGGGGAGGUAGUGACAAUAAAUAACAAUACGGGGUUCUUUUGGAUCUUGUAAUUGGAAUGAGUACAAUUUAAAUCUCUUAACGAGGAACAAUUGGAGGGCAAGUCUGGUGCCAGCAGCCGCGGUAAUUCCAGCUCCAAUAGCGUAUAUUAAAGUUGUUGCAGUUAAAAAGUUCGUAGUUGAAUUUCGGGAUCAAUAUGUCGGUCGUGCCUCGGUACGUACUGGUAUCAUUGGUUUCUCCCUUCUGAUGAACCAUGAUGCCAUUAAUUUGGUGUCGUGGGGAAUCAGGACUGUUACUUUGAAAAAAUUAGAGUGUUUAAAGCAGGCUCACGCUUGAAUACAUUAGCAUGGAAUAAUGAAAUAGGACGUUUGAUUCUAUUUUGUUGGUUUCUAGGAUCGACGUAAUGAUUAAUAGGGAUAGUUGGGGGCGUUAGUAUUCAAUUGUCAGAGGUGAAAUUCUUGGAUUUAUUGAAGACUAACUACUGCGAAAGCAUUUGCCAAGGAUGUUUUCAUUAAUCAAGAACGAAAGUUAGGGGAUCGAAGACGAUCAGAUACCGUCGUAGUCUUAACCAUAAACUAUGCCGACUAGGGAUCGGAUGAUGUUAACUUUUUAAUGACUCAUUCGGCGCCUUACG
rnacentral:rRNA from 1 species